rnacentral:tRNA from 1 species
GGGCGAGUGGUGGAAUUGGUAGACACGCCAGCCUUAGGAGCUGGUGCCGCAAGGCGUGAAGGUUCGAGUCCUUUUUCGCCCACCA